rnacentral:tRNA from 1 species
GCGACCGUGGUGUAAUGGUUAUCAUGGCUACUUUCCAAGCAGUCAAUCCGGAUUUGACUUCCGGAGGUCGCA